CAAUAACUGUACCAGCCAGAGUGUACUGGCUUGUCCAAAAAAUACUGUGGCAACCUAUUUUCAUGGACAAUCCAGAGUCAACAGGUGUAUAUAGAAACAAGUAACUAGAGACCCAUGUUUUGAUUGGUGGUCAAAACAUUGGUGGUCAGAUUUCAAAGACAAAUUGAAAUUGUGUCAUUCCAGAAAAGAUCCAUACUCCCCCCACGCAGGAAAUUUCUGCCGUCCGGAGGGGGAGGGGAGAAAAAAUUGUUUCUGAUUCAGAUAAUAGUAUAUGUAUUAGGACAUCCGAAGGGGGUAGGGAGGUUAACUUCCUAUUUCCUCUGUGGGUGUGGUAUGGAUGUUUUCUGGAAUGACCCAUUGACAGUAGGAUGUAAUUUUGUUGUUGGGAUGGGUUGGUGCUUUAGGGUUUAGGUUCAAUUCCUGCAGAAGGGUUACACAAAGUCACAGCAAUUUCAAAAUUAAUUACAUGGCUUCACAAAAUAAAUUCCAUUCAGUCACGAAAUAGGUAGAUGC